rnacentral:lncRNA from 10 species
CCCAGCUCCUUGCAGAUGAUGAUGCUAGACUACUACAACUGGAAACCCAGGGAAAUCAAAGUUGCUACAACUAUCUGUAUAGGAUGAAAGCUCUGGAUGCCAUUCGUACCUCUGACGGAGUCUUGCUCUGUUGCCCAGGCUGGAGUGCAGUAGCACGAUCUUGGCUCACCACAACCUCCACCUCCUGGGUUCAAGCGGUUCUCCUGCCUCAGCCUCCCGAGUAGCUGGGAUUACAGAGAUCCCAUUUCAUUCUGAAGGCCGGCAUCCCCGUUCCUUAAUGGGCAAGAAUUUCCGCUCCUACCUGCUGGAUCUGCGAAACACUAGUACGCCUUUCAAGGGUGUACGCAAAGCACUCAUUGAUACCCUUUUGGAUGGCUAUGAAACAGCCCGCUAUGGGACAGGGG